UACGUAGGGUGCAAGCGUUGUCCGGAAUUAUUGGGCGUAAAGAGCUCGUAGGUGGCCUGUCGCGUCGGCUGUGAAAACUCGGGGCUCAACUCCGAGCUUGCAGUCGAUACGGGCAGGCUAGAGUUCGGCAGGGGAGACUGGAAUUCCUGGUGUAGCGGUGAAAUGCGCAGAUAUCUGGAGGAAUACCGGUGGCGAAGGCGGCAUCCUGGACCGACAUUGACGCUGAACGGCGAAAGCU
rnacentral:rRNA from 1 species